CAGUAGCCGCGGUAAUACGAGGGGUGCAAGCGUUAAUCGGAAUUACUGGGCGUAAAGCGUGCGUAGGCGGUUUGUUAAGUCUGUUGUGAAAUCCCCGGGCUCAACCUGGGAAUGGCAAUGGAUACUGGCAAGCUAGAGUGUGUCAGAGGAUGGUGGAAUUCCCGGUGUAGCGGUGAAACGCGUAGAGAUCGGGAGGAACAUCAGUGGCGAAGGCGGCCAUCUGGGACAACACUGACGCUGAGGCACGAAAGCGUGGGGAGCAAACAGGAUUAGAUACCCGCGUAGUCCCUGUCUCUUAUAA
rnacentral:rRNA from 1 species